UAUUGAAUUGGGCACGCUUUUUAUAUCUCUCUGUGAAUUUCUCAGCUUGCUUAGUUGAUGCUGAUGUAAUUUAAUUCAACAUUCAUUUAGAUCUAUUGCCAACAAUCAAAUUUCAGGGUAGUUAGUAAAUGGAGAACAAAAUAGUUGAGAAGACCCCUUCUUGUGUUUUUUCGUUGAAGUGACAUGAGUUCAUAUGAACAUUGUUAAAAUUGGUAUUUCACUCUUUAGUUCAACAUUCAUUUAGAUCUAUUGCCAUUCUCAAUUUGCAUGCGAUUAUCACAUUCUUGCACACUCUCUAUUGCUGGCUGUGGCUUCAAAUUCAAAUGUGGAGCCUAGAAGUAAGAAAUCCUGUGAUAUUUUCUUGGCCUGUAAUAGAUCUGUCUUACGGUGGUUAUGGAUGUGUUCUUCCAUCCUCUAUUCAAACUUCAAAGAGGGGGAGUUUUGUGGAAGUCAAUUUUUUGGGUAACUUUAUGGGACAUCUAGCUCAAGAGGAGUUGCAUACAUCUUUGGGAUACAUCUUUGAGAUGGAAGGUCUAACAAGUAUCUUAGUUAAAACAAAUGUGGGUCUUCAUUAUAAUCUUUCCUGCAAAAUAAACAGGACAAAUAUGGUGUGAACUUGUCCAUGGUGUUCCUCCUUAAAGAAAAUGCUGUUUUUCCCCCUUAGCUGUAUAUCCACGUGUCACACUUCAUAUUGGCGAUGGUAGUCAGCUAUGCUUAGUUUUUUCUCCCUAGCCAUGGACUUCUGCUUGGAUUCUUCUUGCUUUUAAACGUUUACAGGAGUUGCAUUUUUGAAGGCUGUCCCGAAGGGACUUAUGAUGCUAUUCUAGUGGAUUCUUCUGAUCCCAUAGGUAAACCAUCUGCCUGAGGGUAUCUUUUCAAGUUGUAAUUUUUGAGUGCAUCUUCAGGUCCUGCACAACAGCUUUUUGAGAAGCCAUCCAUCUUUGAAUCGGUAGCCAGAGCUCUAGGACCAGGAGGCGUUGUGUGUGCACUCAGGCAGAGUACAUGGCUUCAGAUGCACGUUAUUGGAGACAUAGUGGCAAACUGUCGCCAAGUAUUCAAAGGCUCGAGAUAAGAUGUGAUCAUCAUAUCUGGCUGCAACGUUUCCACAACUUUUGGCAAGAAGGUGUUGUUGAUUCAAUAGCAAAAUGAGGAUUGGUUUGGGUCUUCAUUUUCAACCAAAUGUCUUGUCUACCAACACAUUUUACCACCACUAGAAUUAGGCGUUUUAUUAAUUUCUCCGCCAGAACCAGACGACACCCUAGACAAGCUUAAGAGAAAUCUAUCUCAAGGGCCUCCAGUUUUGAUUUGCACCUUUUGUAUAAACUUUACCAAUAUCAAGAAUUAUUAAGAUAAUACGUGAAAAAAUAACUGUGGCCUAAAAAACGAAGGUCAUCGUCACCCAGCACGCCAAAUCUUUGUAUAUAUUAUUACACAAAUACAUAACACAGGAAUAAAAUAUGGCUUCGACUUCA